UACGGAGGGUGCAAGCGUUGUCCGGAUUUAUUGGGUUUAAAGGGUGCGUAGGUGGUUUGAUAAGUCCGGGGUGAAAGCCCGUCGCUCAACGACGGAACUGCCCUGGAUACUGUCAGACUUGAGGGUAGACGAGGUUGGCGGAAUAGAAGGUGUAGCGGUGAAAUGCAUAGAUACCUUCUAGAACCCCGAUUGCGUAGGCAGCUGACUAGGCUACACCUGACACUGAGGCACGAAAGCGUGGGGAGCGAACAGG
rnacentral:rRNA from 1 species